GACGAACGCUGGCGGCGUGCCUAAUACAUGCAAGUAGAACGCACAGUUUAUACCGUAGCUUGCUACACCAUAGACUGUGAGUUGCGAACGGGUGAGUAACGCGUAGGUAACCUGCCUGGUAGCGGGGGAUAACUAUUGGAAACGAUAGCUAAUACCGCAUAAUAUUGAUUAUUGCAUGAUAAUUGAUUGAAAGAUGCUAUUGCAUCACUACCAGAUGGACCUGCGUUGUAUUAGCUAGUAGGUGAGGUAACGGCUCACCUAGGCGACGAUACAUAGCCGACCUGAGAGGGUGAUCGGCCACACUGGGACUGAGACACGGCCCAGACUCCUACGGGAGGCAGCAGUAGGGAAUCUUCGGCAAUGGACGAAAGUCUGACCGAGCAACGCCGCGGGAGGGAAGAAGGUUUUCGGAUCGUAAAGCUCUGUUGUAAGAGAAGAACGGGGGUGAGAGUGGAAAGUUCACACUGUGACGGUAUCUUACCAGAAAGGGACGGCUAACUACGUG
rnacentral:rRNA from 1 species